UAGAAUAGAAAUGCGCCUCCUUCAUCUGGGA
rnacentral:piRNA from 1 species